CCUACGGGAGGCAGCAGUGAGGAAUAUUGGUCAAUGGGCGCGAGCCUGAACCAGCCAAGUAGCGUGAAGGAUGACUGCCCUACGGGUUGUAAACUUCUUUUAUAAAGGAAUAAAGUGAGGCACGUGGGCCUUUUUGUCUGUACUUUAUGAAUAAGGAUCGGCUAACUCCGUGCCAGCAGCCGCGGUAAUACGGAGGAUCCGAGCGGUAUCCGGAUUUAUUGGGUUUAAAGGGAGCGUAGAUGGGUUGUUAAGUCAGUUGUGAAAGUUUGCGGCUCAAACGUAAAAUUGCAAUUGAUACUGGCAGUCUUGAGUACAGUUGAGGUAGGCGGAAUUCGUGGUGUAGCGGUGAAAUGCUUAGAUAUCACGAAGAACUCCGAUUGCGAAGGCAGCUUACUAAACUGCCACUGACAUUGAUGCACGAAAGCGUGGGGAGCAAACAGGAUUAGAUACACCGUAGUC
rnacentral:rRNA from 1 species